UACGUAGGGCGCAAGCGUUGUCCGGAAUUAUUGGGCGUAAAGAGCUCGUAGGCGGCCAGUUGCGUCUGCUGUGAAAUCCCACGGCUCAACCGUGGAACUGCUGGGUAUACUGCUCGUCUUGAGCCAAUCAGGGGCGAGCGGAACAGACGGUGGAGCGGUGAAAUGCGUAGAUAUCGUCUGGAACGCCGAAGGUGAAAACAGCUCGCUGGGAUUGUGCUGACGCUGAGACACGAAAGCCAGGGGAGCGAACGGG
rnacentral:rRNA from 1 species